rnacentral:misc_RNA from 1 species
AACCGCCGUAUACCGAAUGGUACGUACGGUAGAGUGGAAGGUCGGCUGCUCGAUUUUAGAGUGGCCUCCUAUCCGAU